AGCCUCCUGGCACCGUGUUCUUACACUGACUGUAUGGAAAGAGGAGGGAAAGUAAGCAUGCCCUGUGUACACCUCAGUCCAGUCUGUACUGUGAAUGGAAAGACAUGG
rnacentral:snoRNA from 1 species